AACGAACGCUGGCGGCAGGCUUAACACAUGCAAGUCGAGCGCCCCGCAAGGGGAGCGGCAGACGGGUGAGUAACGCGUGGGAAUCUACCCAUCUCUACGGAAUAACGCAUGGACACGUGUGCUAAUACCGUAUACGUCCUUCGGGAGAAAGAUUUAUCGGAGAUGGAUGAGCCCGCGUUGGAUUAGCUAGUUUGUUGGGUAAAGGCCAACCAAGGCGACGAUCCAAAGCUGGUCUGAGAGGAUGAUCAGCCACACUGGGACUGAGACACGUCCCAGACGCCUCCGGGAGGCAGCAGUGGGGAAUAUUGGACAAUGGGCGCAAGCCUGAUCCAGCCAUGCCGCGUGAGUGAUGAAGGCCCUAGGGUUGUAAAGCUCUUUCACCGGUGAAGAUAAUGACGGUAACCGGAGAAGAAGCCCCGGCUAACUUCGUGCCAGCAGCCGCCGUAACAC
rnacentral:rRNA from 1 species